rnacentral:rRNA from 1 species
UGCGGUUAUACAAAAAUUAAAUUGAAUUUUUUUAGGAUUUAAUUAAUAAAAAUAAAAUUAUAAUAAUUUAAAUUUUAAAUUAUAAAGUGAAAUUUUAAUUUAAUUAAAAUUUAUUUAUUUUUAUAAAUUAAUAAAUUUUAUAAAAAACUAGGAUUAGAUACCCUAUUAUUAAAAUUUAAAUUUAAAUAAUCUUAAAAUAGUAUAUAAUUUUUUAUAGAAACUUAAAUAAUUUGGCGGUAUUUUAGUUCAUUUAGAGGAAUCUGUUUAAUAAUUGAUAAUCCACGAUUAAAUUUACUUAAUUUACAAUUUUGUAUAUCGUUGUUAAAAAAAUAUUUUUAAAUAAUUAUAAUAUUUUAAAAUUUUUAUAAAAAAUUAAAUCAGAUCAAGAUGCAGAUUAUAAUUAAGAAUAUAAUGGAUUACAAUAAAUUUUAUUUUAUUUGGAUAUUAAUUUGAAAUAAUUAAUUGAAAUUGGAUUUAAAUGUAAUUUUAUUAAUUUUAAUAAAAUGAUUAAAAAUUAAAAUAUGUACAUAUUGCCCGUCGCUUUCAUUAAUAAAUUGAAAUAAGUCGUAACAAAGUAGAGGUACUGGAAAGUGUUUCUAGAAAGAU